GAUGAACGCUGGCGGCGUGCCUAAUACAUGCAAGUCGAGCGAACAGACGAGGAGCUUGCUCCUCUGACGUUAGCGGCGGACGGGUGAGUAACACGUGGAUAACCUACCUAUAAGACUGGGAUAACUUCGGGAAACCGGAGCUAAUACCGGAUAAUAUAUUGAACCGCAUGGUUCAAUAGUGAAAGACGGUUUUGCUGUCACUUAUAGAUGGAUCCGCGCCGCAUUAGCUAGUUGGUAAGGUAACGGCUUACCAAGGCGACGAUGCGUAGCCGACCUGAGAGGGUGAUCGGCCACACUGGAACUGAGACACGGUCCAGACUCCUACGGGAGGAAGCAGUAGGGAAUCUUCCGCAAUGGGCGAAAGCCUGACGGAGCAACGCCGCGUGAGUGAUGAAGGUCUUCGGAUCGUAAAACUCUGUUAUUAGGGAAGAACAAAUGUGUAAGUAACUAUGCACGUCUUGACGGUACCUAAUCAGAAAGCCACGGCUAAGUACGUG
rnacentral:rRNA from 1 species